AUGAAGGUGCAGAAGUAUCUAGCAUCCUGGGUAGGUGUACCUUAGACAAUGGCCAAGAAUUCUCCUGCUCAAUUUUUCCAGCAGGGAAGCCAGAUCAAAUUUAACUUGGCCUCCAAUUCCACAGGUUUGCCCAACACCCAACACCACCUGAAAGAAACUCCUGGAGGCUGCAUAAAAAGGAAAAGGCUCCAAUCAGGGACAUGCCUUGGAGAGCUGAGGAGAUUCCUUAAGCUGUUGUGGCUUCCUCAUGCUUGUUACUUUGGGCGCCCACCAUCCAUUUCCACAGCGGGAUUAGCCUGCACCUAUCUCCAGGACACUGGACUGUCCUGACCUUUCUGUGCUUCUGAGCAAAACCAUGAUGCAGGUUGACAGGAGGGAGUGCACCACCCCCCCAACCCAGAACCCAGAAAUAAGGAUCCAGCACCAAAGACCCACCUUCCCCCAUCAGCUACAGAGCAGAGCAUCAAAAUGCUGAGCCCACAUUAACAUCCAACUAGACUAUAUUUCCGGAAAGUUCUCUUCUCAUACCAGUUAGGGCAGGUAAGAAGUAACAGGAGGCAAGUAAAGAUGUUGAAGAGAAGAAAGGUCAAAAUCUGACAUUCAGCUGGGAAGAAAUUCCUUCAGGAAUCUCUGUAGAUGCUUGUAUCUGUGCCACACAGUAGAGGGGAGAGCUUCAGGGCCCCAAAGGCCAUUCAGCAGGCAUUAAUAAAUUUAGGGGUUCAGACUGAAGAUACAUAGCCCUGCCCUCAAGCAGUUCCCUUUUGGACAGAGGAGCUCGGCAUCAGAAAUGUCCCAGAAGCAGUAUGUUCUCUCUGCAUCAUGGAGACUUGGGAGCUGCAGAAAUUCACAUAUGAUCAAGUCAGCAUCUUGCCUUCAAGUCUUGGCCUUUGUUGGUUCAGUAGAAGAAUGGAAAGUGAAGCAGUGCAGUGGAGAUUCACAUGCAUGGAGAAGCCAGAGCUUGGGGGAGAUGCACUUCCUUCUCUACUUAAAGACAAAAAAGGAAAGAAGAAAGGGAGAGGGGGGGGGGAGAAAAGAGUGCAAGAGCAAAAAAUGGUACCCUUUAGAAGUAGACACUGGUCAUGGUUGCCCAACAUUGUGAAUGUAAUUAAUGCCACUGGACUGUACACUUAAAAAUUGUUAAAAUGGGGCACCUGGGUGGCUCAGUCGGUUAGGCGACUGACUUUGGCUCAGGUCAUGAUCUCACGAUUUGUGAGUUUGAGCCCCGUGUCAGGCUCUGUGCUGACAGCACAGAGCCUGGAGCCUGCUUCGGAUUCUGUGUCUCCCCCUCUCUCUGUCCCCUCCCCUGCUCACGCUCCGUGCCUCUCUGUCUCUCAAUAAUAAAUAAACGUUAAAAAAAUUUUUUUUUGUUAAAAUGAAAACUUUGUUAUAUAUAUUUUACCACAAUUUAAAAAAUACUGUAAUAUACCAAAACUCAUUGAAUUGUACAUUUUUAUUUUAAUUUUUAAAAACUUUUAUUUUUAUUCCAGUAUAGUUAACAUACAGUGUUCUAUUAAUUUCAGGUGCACAGUAUAGUGAUUCAACACUUCCAUACAUCAUCCUGUGCUUAUUACAAUAAGUGCACUCCAUAAUCUCCAUCAUCUAUUUCACCCAUCUCCCCACCCACAUCCCCUCUGGUAACUAUCUGUUUGUUUUCUGUUGUUAAGAGUGCUUUGUUAUCUCUCUCUCUCUCUCUUUCUUUUGUUCAUUUGUUUUGUUUCUUAAAUUCC